GGAACCGACCCGGGGACCGCCGGGGCAACCCCGGCGCCCCCGAGACGGGGCGAACCACGGUGAAAUGACGGAUCGUCGGCCCCGCGCCGGCGACUCGCCGAAUGAGUUUCUGACCUAUCAACUCGAGACGGCGGGGGUAGAGGCCCGCCGCGGUAACGACGGGUAACGGGGAAUUAGGGGUUUGAUUCCGGAGAAAAAGGCCUGAGAGACGGCCAUUACUUCUAAGGAAGGCAGCAGGCGCGUAAAUUACCCAAUCCUAAUACGGGGAGGUAGUGACAAGAAAUAUUGAUAUUGGACCCAAAGGGUACAAUGAUUGAAAUGAGAACAAUAUAAAAAACUUAACGAACUAACAAUUGGAGGGCAAGUCUGGUGCCAGCAGCCGCGGUAAUUCCAGCUCCAAGAGUGUAUAUUAAAGUUG
rnacentral:rRNA from 1 species